rnacentral:rRNA from 1 species
UACGUAGGGGGCAAGCGUUGUCCGGAAUCAUUGGGCGUAAAGAGCGCGUAGGCGGUCCGGUAAGUCGGUUGUGAAAACUGGGGGCUCAACCCUCAGAGGCCGACCGAUACUGCCGGGCUAGAGUCCGGAAGAGGCGAGUGGAAUUCCUGGUGUAGCGGUGAAAUGCGCAGAUAUCAGGAGGAACACCGAUGGCGAAGGCAGGUCUCUGGGCAUUAACUGACGCUGAGGAGCGAAAGCAUGGGGAGCGAACAGG